GUAGGUGGCAAGCGUUGUCCGGAAUUAUUGGGCGUAAAGCGCGCGCAGGCGGUCCUUUAAGUCUGAUGUGAAGGCCCACGGCUCAACCGUGGAGGGUCAUUGGAAACUGGGGGACUUGAGUACAGAAGAGGAAAGCGGAAUUCCAAGUGUAGCGGUGAAAUGCGUAGAGAUUUGGAGGAACACCAGUGGCGAAGGCGGCUUUCUGGUCUGUAACUGACGCUGAGGCGCGAAAGCGUGGGGAGCAAACAGGAUUAGAUACCCUGGUAGUCCACGCCGUAAACGAUGAGUGCUAAGUGUUAGGGGGUUUCCCGCCCCCUUAGUGCUGCAGCUAACGCAUUAAGCACUCCGCCUGGGGAGUACGGCCGCAAGGCUG
rnacentral:rRNA from 1 species